AUUUCCUUCACAACUCUGAUCACUGCCUGAUGCCUCCACUGUAUUUGCUGGCUGUUGAGACUGUCUCUUUUCUAUGUUCUCCCGCUGGACUGUAAACUCCCUGAGGGCAGGAGAACAGCAAAAAUGCAUUCCUUUGCUGACACUUCUCUACCUGUGGUUGUCUUCCACUCUGCGUCAUGUGCCGUAUCCGCCUGUCACCCCGGCACACUGUCAGCCACGCAGCCUCUCGUUCCCUGUGUUUCCUUGCACACUCGUGCUCUGCUGGCCUCUGUCACUCUCACUGGGCGUCCUGCCUGCCUUCCCACCCCCUGCACGUGUCCCUGUUGGCACUUCCCUAUUCACACUCUCCUCUCCACCAAGCUUCCUUUGACGCUUCCUCUUUCAAGCUGUGCAGCCUUCUUCAGCUGACAGUUCAGCAUCGUUCCAUUUCUGAAGCAGGGAAUUGGUUUGGUGGGCACUAGCUCCAAGUUUGCCUUUGUGGUAUUUCUAGCCUCCUUCAUUCUCUUUCCUGUUUUGGCUGCAACCAAAGGCUGGGCUCAGUGAUGAAUCGCAAUUGGG
ensembl:lncRNA LARGE-IT1 LARGE intronic transcript 1